UCCUGGUCCUGCUGGGCAGUGUAGUCCCACUUGGCUAUAACAAUCACCUCCUCUGUCAUCUUUCAUGGAGUCCCUCUUUGGCCUCAGUUAUUAGAGAUGAU